AGCAGCCGCGGUAAUUCCAGCUCCAAUAGCGUAUAUUAAAGUUGUUGCAGUUAAAAAGCUCGUAGUUGAAUUUCGGAAUCUGUCCAUCGGUCGGGCUUCACUGUCCGUACUGGUGUGGUGGGUUCUUACCUUCUGAAUAACCAGCAUGCCAUUCACUUGGUGCGUUGGGGAAGCAGGACUAUUACCUUGAAAAAAUUAGAGUGCUCAAAGCAGGCCAGUGCCUGAAUACAUUAGCAUGGAAUAAUAAAAUAGGACGGCAUGGUUCUAUUUUGUUGGUUUCUAGGAUCACCGUAAUGAUUAAUAGGGAUAGUUGGGGGCAUUAGUAUUCAAUUGUCAGAGGUGAAAUUCUUGGAUUUAUUGAAGACUAACUUCUGCGGAAGCAUUUGCCGAGGAUGUUUUCAUUAAUCAAGAACGAAAGUUAGGGGAUCGAAGACGAUCAGAUACCGUCGUAGUCUUAACCAUAAACUAUGCCGACUAGGGAUCGGACGACGUUAAUUUUUAAUGACUCGUUCGGCGCCG
rnacentral:rRNA from 1 species